GAUGAACGCUGGCGGCGUGCCUAAUACAUGCAAGUCGAGCGAACAGACGAGGAGCUUGCUCCUCUGACGUUAGCGGCGGACGGGUGAGUAACACGUGGAUAACCUACCUAUAAGACUGGGAUAACUUCGGGAAACCGGAGCUAAUACCGGAUAAUAUAUUGAACCGCAUGGUUCAAUAGUGAAAGACGGUUUUGCUGUCACUUAUAGAUGGAUCCGCGCCGCAUUAGCUAGUUGGUAAGGUAACGGCUUACCAAGGCGACGAUGCGUAGCCGACCUGAGAGGGUGAGCGGCCACACUGGAACUGAGACACGGUCCAGACUCCUACGGGAGGCAGCAGUAGGGAAUCUUCCGCAAUGGGCGAAAGCCCGACGGAGCAACGCCGCGUGAGUGAUGAAGGUCUUCGGAUCGUAAAACUCUGUUAUUAGGGAAGAACAAAUGUGUAAGUAACUAUGCACGUCUUGACGGUACCUAAUCAGAAAGCCACGGCUAACUACGUG
rnacentral:rRNA from 1 species